GAUGAACGCUGGCGGCGUGCCUAAUACAUGCAAGUCGAGCGAACAGACGAGGAGCUUGCUCCUCUGACGUUAGCGGCGGACGGGUGAGUAACACGUGGAUAACCUACCUAUAAGACUGGGAUAACUUCGGGAAACCGGAGCUAAUACCGGAUAAUAUAUUGAACCGCAUGGUUCAAUAGUGAAAGACGGUUUUGCUGUCACUUAUAGAUGGAUCCGCGCCGCAUUAGCUAGUUGGUAAGGUAACGGCUUACCAAGGCAACGAUGCGUAGCCGACCUGAGAGGGUGAUCGGCCACACUGGAACUGAGACACGGUCCAGACUCCUACGGGAGGCAGCAGUAGGGAAUCUUCCGCAAUGGGCGAAAGCCUGACGGAGCAACGCCGCGUGAGUGAUGAAGGUCUUCGGAUCGUAAAACUCUGUUAUUAGGGAAGAACAAAUGUGUAAGUAACUAUGCACGUCUUGACGGUACCGAAACAGAAAGCCACGGCUAACUACGU
rnacentral:rRNA from 1 species